rnacentral:rRNA from 1 species
UACAGAGACUGCAAGCGUUAUUCGGAUUCACUGGGCGUAAAGGGUGCGCAGGCGGCCAUGUGUGUUAGGCGUGAAAGCCCGGGGCUUAACCCCGGAAUUGCACCUAAAGCUACGUGGCUAGAGCAUUGGAGAGGGUAGCGGAAUUCACGGUGUAGCAGUGAAAUGCGUAGAUAUCGUGAGGAACACCAGAGGCGAAGGCGGCUACCUGGACAAUUGCUGACGCUCAGGCACGAAAGCGUGGGGAGCAAAAGGG